rnacentral:rRNA from 1 species
AUUGAACGCUGGCGGCAGGCUUAACACAUGCAAGUCGAGCGAGCGGAGGACGGGUGAGUAAUGUCUGGGAAACUGCCUGAUGGAGGGGGAUAACUACUGGAAACGGUAGCUAAUACCGCAUACCAUCAGAUGUGCCCAGAUGGGAUUAGCUAGGAGGUGGGGUAAGGGCUAACCUAGGCGACGAUCCCUAGCUGGUCUGAGAGGUGGACCAGCCACACUGGAACUGAGACACGGCCCAGACUCCUACGGGAGGCAGCAGUGGGGAAUAUUGCACAAUGGGCGCAAGCCUGAUGCAGCCAUGCCGCGUGUAUGAAGAAGGCCUUCGGGUUGUAAAGCACUUUCAGCGAGGAGGCGUUACCCACAGAAGAAGCACCGGCUAACUCCGUGCCAGCAGCCGCGGUAAUAC